rnacentral:rRNA from 1 species
AUUGAACGCUGGCGGCAUGCCUUACACAUGCAAGUCGAACGGUAGCGGGCCUUCGGGUGCCGACGAGUGGCGAACGGGUGAGUAAUGUAUCGGAACGUACCUUUCAGUGGGGGAUAACGUAGCGAAAGUUACGCUAAUACCGCAUAUUCUGUGCGCAGGAAAGCAGGGGACCGUCGGGCCUUGCGCGGGUUGAGCGGCCGGUGUCAGAUUAGCUAGUUGGUGAGGUAAAGGCUCACCAAGGCGACGAUCUGUAGCGGGUCUGAGAGGAUGAUCCGCCACACUGGAACUGAGACACGGUCCAGACUCCUACGGGAGGCAGCAGUGGGGAAUUUUGGACAAUGGGCGCAAGCCUGAUCCAGCCAUGCCGCGUGAGUGAAGAAGGCCUUCGGGUUGUAAAGCUCUUUCGGCCGGGAAGAAAUCGCAUUCUCUAAUAUAGGAUGUGGAUGACGGUACCGGACUAAGAAGCACCGGCUAACUACGUGCCAGCAGCCGCAGUAACAC